UCUGCGUGUAGCCUCAGUGGCUCCAAGAGCACAACCGAGCGAGAUCGGAUCAACUUAUGUUUAUACCGCCUGAGCUAAAUUUGGAAUUGCAGGCCACUCGUCUAACGCGUCUUUCUUCUGUGCAAUCUCUCUCGCUAUCGUCCGAGUUUCUUGGGUAUUUUGAAGCUGUCUUCUUGUUUGUGCCAUGGCUGUUGAGGUUGACGGGUUUGAGAUGGUUCAAGGCCCGGAAAAAGGUGCUGAAGGAGACAAAGCUGUUUUGCCUGGAAAAGUAAAUGGACAUUCGGAAAAGGAUACUGUAGUAGCUGAAUCCUUAAAAUUUGGGUCACAUGAAGACGAACCUACCAAAGAAGGGAAUAAAAUUUCAGAUUCCAUUGCACGCAAAGAUGCAGUUGAAGAUUGGCCAGCUCCUAAGCAGAUACAUUCUUUUUAUUUGGUUAAGUUCCGGCCUUAUGAUGAUCCUAACAUAAAGUCUAGACUUGAUCAGCUCGAUAAAGAGAUUAGCAAGAAAAAUCAAACCCGGUUUCAGCUCACUGAAGCUUUGAAGGCAAAGCGGUCAGAACGAGCGGAAUUAAUUUCUCAGAUUAAGGCCCAGAGAGAUAACGAUAGGCAAUGCCAGAGUAUAUUGGAUGACAAAAGAAAAGCAAUUGAACCUCUGCAGCAGGCACUGGGCAAGUUGCGUACACCAAACAAUGCUGGUCGGGGUGGUUUAUGCUCAUCUGAGGAGGAACUGAAUGAUAUUAUCUAUGGAUUGCAGUACCGGAUACAACAUGAGAGCAUUCCGUUGUCUGAGGAAAAACUACUCCUUCGUGAAAUCAAGCAGCUUGAGGGAACAAGGGAGAAAGUUAUAGCUAAUGCUGCCAUGAGGGCUAAAUUACAGGAUUCACUUGGGCAGAAAGAAGCCAUUCAAGAUCAGGUUAAGGUUAUAGGUGGGGAUUUGGAUGGAGUAAAGAAGGAGAGAGAGAUAGUUCGGUCCAAAAUCAAGCAACUUGAUGAUUCUCUGAAAGUCUUAGACAAGGAUAUUCAGUCUUUACAGGAUGAACUAACAGAUGUCAUUCAGAAGAAGGAUAAAGAUUAUGAGAGCAUUCAGCAGCUGAGAAAACAACGUGACGAAGGGAAUACUUACUUCCACCAAAGCCGUGCCAUUUUGAAUAAAGCGAGGGAGCUUGCUGCAAAGAAAGAUAUUAAAGCUCUUGAGGAACUUUCACAAGCAGAGGUUGAGAAAUUUAUGUCACUCUGGAACAGUGACGAGACUUUUAGGAAUGAUUAUGAGAGAAGAAUUUUGCCUUCAUUAGAUAUUCGACAAUUGAGUAGGGAUGGACGGAUUAGGAAUCCAGAUGAAAAGCCACUGUUGGAAGAGUCAAAACCGUCUGAAACUGAUGCAGUGCCAAAGAUCAGCAAAAAUCAGCUAAAGGAAGAGCCCAAGUCUUCCCCGAAAGAUAGUUUGCCAGCUCAGAAGGUCCAGAAUGAAGCCAAAAACAAAGAGAGAGAUUUGAAAUCUAAGCUGGAAAAUAAAGAAUCAGCAGAAGCUGAUAAAUUGAAAUUUGAAAAGCCACUAAAGGAGAGUGUUGUCAAAGAGCCUGAAAUUGAUCCAGCAAAGUUGAAGGAGAUCAAGAGAGAAGAGCAAAUUGCAAAAAUGAAGCAGGCCUUGGAAAGGAAAAUGAAGUUAGCAAAGAAAGCUACAGCCAAGGCAGCUGUCCGAGCACAGAAGGAAGCUGAGAAGAAGCUUAAAGAGCAGGAAAAGAAAGCAAAGAAGGCGGCUUCUGCCUCUGCUCCCAUUCCCAAUCCUCAGGAACCGGCAGAUGUUGCAGUGGAGGCUACAGAACCAGAAAAGUUAGAUGAAAAUGAUGAUGGCCCGGUUGUAGUGAAGGAAAAGGUCCAGAAAGAGAGUAGUAUCAGGUCCAGGGAUCGAACAAAGGGCCGUGGCUCGUUUCCUAAAGUUAUUUUGAAGAAAAAAAGGUCUAAAAAUAACCGGGUGUGGGUUGCAUCUGCUGCUUUGUUACUGUUGCUCUUGGUGGUGCUCGGGUAUUACUAUCUUUACUGCUUCAGGUGUAAGCCAGACCGUACAAGCUUUGAAGGGACAGGAAGGUGAUGUGCUACUCAGGGGAGUAAAAGAGAGAAGUACGAUAAAAGAAGUGAAGCAUAUUCUUGAGAUGGCUCAAAGCGCAUCAUCUAGACGAGAAGUUCUUCAUACAAAUUUUCUUACUCCUCCAGUGCUGAAGGAAUCUAUGGAAGUAAUGGGAAAAUUAGCUGGUGUGAAAGCAAUUGCUCAAGGAGGUUACCCACAGGCUGAACGCUGCCGGAUUUCUGUUGGACAUCCAGAAGAAUUGACAAGUGACCCUGAUAUAAUUGCAGCAUUGAGCAUUACAGGAAACUUUCAGUUUGAACCUUGUUCUCAUGGAGACUUCCUUGGUGCAAUCCUUGGUACAGGAAUCACCAGAGAAAAACUUGGAGAUAUAAUAUUGCAGGGCGAACAGGGUGCUCAGAUACUUAUUGUUCCGGAACUUGUUGAAUAUGUCAUAUCAUCGCUGGGUAAG